rnacentral:rRNA from 1 species
UACGGGGGGAGCAAGCGUUGUUCGGAUUUACUGGGCGUAAAGGGCGCGUAGGCGGCCAGCGCAAGUCAGUUGUGAAAUCUCCGGGCUUAACUCGGAACGGUCAACUGAUACUGCGCGGCUAGAGUGCGGAAGGGGCAACUGGAAUUCUCGGUGUAGCGGUGAAAUGCGUAGAUAUCGAGAGGAACACCUGCGGCGAAGGCGGGUUGCUGGGCUGACACUGACGCUGAUGUGCGAAAGCUAGGGGAGCGAACGGG